CUUACUGUGGUGUCUGACCGCCUGUGUGAGGCUGCUGAGGUGAUGCAUGAACCCUGGAAUGCUCUUCUGACAGGAAUCCGGCCUGAGUGAGUCAUUUUGCUACUCCAAGUCUGGAUAGAAAGCUGGCACUUCGUACAAACACAACCUUUAAGUUUGGCGUUGGAAGGGGCUCCUGUAGCCUUGAGGGUCUUCCAUGAGUUUCCCCCUUCCAAGACCUGACCACCAAAACCAUCUGUUCUGUUGCAGGUGAUAGCGGACAGUGAGCGUGUUCAGAAUGGGAACCCAGUGAUGGUGUCCACUCAGGUGAUUGAACACUCUGAUGAAGUCGAUUUGGGAAUAAGCAUCUCCGAGGAUAAUGUGGCUACUUCUUCCCCCAAGACAAUGGAGGCCCAAGCUGUGGCCAAGGCCAGCGGAAAGAAUCUUGGGAAAGAAGCCAAGCCCAAGGCACCAGCUGCUAGAUCGAGUUUUUUCUUGACACUCUCUCGGCCUGUACCAGGACGUCCCGGGGACCAAGGCACGGAUUCAUCGGCUGCAUUGGGCAAGCUUGAUGUCAGCCCCGGCACAGUGCCUGCAAACAAAGACCCAAGUGAGCACGGGGCACUUCCGGUGGCAGCUGCACCAGGGCCGGCUGCAGAUAAAACGCCAGGGUGUCCUGAGGCCAAGCAGCAGGCCUUCCCUGCCACCUGCCCGCCAGCGCCUUCACCACCUGAGUCCAGUGCAGAAGGCACCUCCAAGCCCAAGGACUUCAGCUUCUUCGACAAACUAUUUAAACUAGACAGGGGAAGAGAACGUGCCUCAGCUGGCAGCCAGUCCGAAGAAGCCAAGACAGUGAGAGACCAAGACCAGGCCGAGGAGGCCCCUGCCUUGCCAGGGAAUCCCCAUGG
rnacentral:lncRNA from 1 species